ensembl:lncRNA
GUUUUGAAGGGGUUGAAGUCCUCUCUCUCUCUGUUUUGCUGCUUGGAGGGCUAGCUGGGCAUUGGUAGAGGGUUGUUCUGACUUUUCAGAUGUAUGGCAUGGCAAUUUAUACCAACUCUCAAUUUGAAAAAUUUCAGCUGCUACAUGAUAUAAGAUUUGGAAAUAUUGUCUUCUUUCAAGUGUUCAUCAUCACAGUCUGGAUCUCCACUUUUCAAGAUGUGGCUUCAUCAGUGCUGAACAGAAAAGAAGGAUCUUUCCUCUUGACCUGCUGACGCUCCUCCUAAUGCAGUCCAUGAUACUGUUGGCCUUUUUUGACCAUGAUGGUAGUUGCAUUUAUUCCAAAGAUGAAAAGAAGACACACGAAGAAAGAAGGGAAAUCUUAAAAGUUGUUGCUCCUUGCCCAUGUACAUUUCUUAAAGUAUGUCAAAAGAUAAUGCAGAAUUUCAGGACUUUUGUAGAGGUACUUAAUAGGUGCUCAGAGAGUUACAUGGGUUGUUCUUUAAACAGAGUGCUACUAAGAAUUCAAAAUGAUCACAAAAUCAGUCUCUUCCACAGUUCUUCUAAAGCAGUUUUUGGAAACAACUCUCUGUAAGCAUUUUCUGAAUGGUAGAUGCUUGUAACAUUCAAAUUCUUUAAUUUUCAUAACCUAAGUUUGUGACUUUUUAAGAAGAUCCAACCUUCAUUAUUUGUAUCCUCUUAAUUGCUUCAUUAUUUCUUAUUCUGUAUACCUCAUAUUAUAAUUUACUUUAAUGCAAAUAAAAGAAC